UGCUAUUUCUAGAGAUAGAAGUUACUUCGGUACGAUCGGUGACAGGUGGUGCAUGGUUGUCGUCAGCUCGUGUCGUGAGAUGUUGGGUUAAGUCCCGCAACGAGCGCAACCCCUAUCGUUAGUUGCCAUCAUUCAGUUGGGCACUCUAGCGAGACUGCCGGUAAUAAACCGGAGGAAGGUGGGAUGGACGUCAAAUCAUCAUGCCCUUAUGACCUGGGCUACACACGUGCUACAAUGGUUGGUACAACGAGUUGCGAGUCGGUGACGGCGAGCUAAUCUCUUAAAGCCAAUCUCAGUUCGGAUUGUAGGCUGCAACUCGCCUACAUGAAGUCGGAAUCGCUAGUAAUCGUGGAUCAGCAUGCCACGGUGAAUACGUUCCCGGGCCUU
rnacentral:rRNA from 1 species